rnacentral:rRNA from 1 species
UACGGGGGGGGGCAAGCGUUGUUCGGAAUUACUGGGCGUAAAGGGCUUGUAGGCGGCCAACUAAGUCCGACGUGAAAUCCCCAGCUUAACCUGGGAACUGCGUCGGAUACUGGAUGGCUUGAAUUCGGGAGAGGGAUGCAGAAUUCCAGGUGUAGCGGUGAAAUGCGUAGAUAUCUGGAGGAAUACCGGUGGCGAAGGCGGCAUCCUGGACCGACAUUGACGCUGAGGAGCGAAAGCUAGGGGAGCAAACGGG